AUUGAACGCUGGCGGCAGGCCUAACACAUGCAAGUCGAGCGGAUGAAGGGAGCUUGCUCCUGGAUUCAGCGGCGGACGGGUGAGUAAUGCCUAGGAAUCUGCCUGGUAGUGGGGGAUAACGUCCGGAAACGGGCGCUAAUACCGCAUACGUCCUGAGGGAGAAAGUGGGGGAUCUUCGGACCUCACGCUAUCAGAUGAGCCUAGGUCGGAUUAGCUAGUUGGUGGGGUAAAGGCCUACCAAGGCGACGAUCCGUAACUGGUCUGAGAGGAUGAUCAGUCACACUGGAACUGAGACACGGCCCAGACUCCUACGGGAGGCAGCAGUGGGGAAUAUUGGACGAUGGGCGAAAGCCUGAUCCAGCCAUGCCGCGUGUGUGAAGAAGGUCUUCGGAUUGUAAAGCACUUUAAGUUGGGAGGAAGGGCAGUAAGUUAAUACCUUGCUGUUUUGACGUUACCAACAGAAUAAGCACCGGCUAACUUCGUG
rnacentral:rRNA from 1 species